rnacentral:rRNA from 1 species
CCUACGGGUGGCAGCAGUGAGGAAUAUUGGGCAAGGGGCGCGAGCCUGAACCAGCCAAGUCGCGUGAGGGAAGACGGCCCGACGGGUGGUAAACCUCUUUUGCCGGGGAGCAAGGGGCGCCACGUGUGGCGUGACUGAGAGGACCAGAAGAAAAAGCAGCGGCGAACUCCGUGCCAGCAGCCGCGGUACUACGGAGGAUGCGAGCGUUAUCCGGAUUUAUUGGGUUUAAAGGGUGCGUAGGCGGAACGCAAAGUCAGCGGUCAAAUCGAGGGGCUCAACCCCUUCCCGCCAUUGAAACUGGCGUUCUUGAGUGGACGAGAAGUAUGCGGAAUGCGUGGUGUAGCGGUGAAAUGCAUAGAUAUCACGCAGAACCCCGAUUGCGAAGGCAGCAUGCCGGCUUCCAACUGACGCUGAAGCACUAAAGCGUGGGGAUCGAACAGGAUUAGAUACCCCUGUAGUC